rnacentral:rRNA from 1 species
GAUGAACGCUGGCGGCGUGCCUAAUACAUGCAAGUCGAGCGAACAGACGAGGAGCUUGCUCCUCUGACGUUAGCGGCGGACGGGUGAGUAACACGUGGAUAACCUACCUUUAAGACUGGGAUAACUUCGGGAAACCGGAGCUAAUACCGGAUAAUAUAUUGAACCGCAUGGUUCAAUAGUGAAAGACGGUUUUGCUGUCACUUAUAGAUGGAUCCGCGCCGCAUUAGCUAGUUGGUAAGGUAACGGCUUACCAAGGCAACGAUGCGUAGCCGACCUGAGAGGGUGAUCGGCCACACUGGAACUGAGACACGGUCCAGACUCAUACGGAAGGCAGCAGUAGGGAAUCUACCGCAAUGGGCGAAAGCCUGACGGAGCAACGCCGCGUGAGUGAUGAAGAUCUUCGGAUCGUAAAACUCUGUUAUUAGGGAAGAACAAAUGUGUAAGUAACUAUGCACGACUUGACGGUACCUAAUCAGAAAGCCACGGCUAACUACGUG